rnacentral:rRNA from 1 species
GACGAACGCUGGCGGCGUGCUUAACACAUGCAAGUCGAGCGGUAAGGCCCUUUCGGGGGUACACGAGCGGCGAACGGGUGAGUAACACGUGGGUGACCUGCCUUUAGCUCUGGGAUAAGCCUGGGAAACUGGGUCUAAUACCGGAUACGACUCCGCGGUGCAUGCUGUGGGGUGGAAAGCCUUGUGCGGCUGGAGAUGGGCCCGCGGCCUAUCAGCUUGUUGGUGGGGUGAUGGCCUACCAAGGCGACGACGGGUAGCCGGCCUGAGAGGGCGACCGGCCACACUGGGACUGAGACACGGCCCAGACUCCUACGGGAGGCAGCAGUGGGGAAUCUUGCGCAAUGGGCGAAAGCCUGACGCGGCGACGCCGCGUGAGGGAUGACGGCCUCGG